rnacentral:rRNA from 1 species
CCUACGGGUGGCAGCAGUGAGGAAUAUUGGUCAAUGGCCGGAAGGCUGAACCAGCCAUGCCGCGUGAAGGUCAGUGCCCUAUGGGCGUUAAACUUCUUUUGUGCGGGAGCAAUAAUGGUCACGUGUGGCCAGACGAGAGUACCGUACGAAUAAGCAUCGGCUAACUCCGUGCCAGCAGCCGCGGUAAUACGGGGGAUGCAAGCGUUAUCCGGAUUUAUUGGGGUUAAAGGGUGCGUAGGCUGUGAGGUAAGUCAGCGGUGAAAUGCCCCCGCUCAACGGGGUGAAGUGCCAUUGAUACUGCCUUGUGGGAAUGCGGAUGCCGUGGGAGGAAUGUGUGGUGUAGCGGUGAAAUGCAUAGAGAUCACACAGAACACCGAUUGCGAAGGCAUCUCACGAAUCCGCGAUUGACGCUGAUGCACGAAAGCGUGGGUAUCAAACAGGAUUAGAUACCCCUGUAGUC